rnacentral:rRNA from 1 species
AGUGAACGCUGGCGGUAGGCCUAACACAUGCAAGUCGAACGGCAGCACAGUAAGAGCUUGCUCUUACGGGUGGCGAGUGGCGGACGGGUGAGGAAUACAUCGGAAUCUACUUUUUCGUGGGGGAUAACGUAGGGAAACUUACGCUAAUACCGCAUACGACCUACGGGUGAAAGCAGGGGAUCUUCGGACCUUGCGCGAUUGAAUGAGCCGAUGUCGGAUUAGCUAGUUGGCGGGGUAAGGGCCCACCAAGGCGACGAUCCGUAGCUGGUGUGAGAGGAUGGUCAGCCAGACUGGAACUGGGGCACGGUCCAGACUCCGACGGGAGGCAGCAGUGGGGAAUAUUGGACAAUAGGCGCAAGCCUGAUCCAGCCAUACCGCGUGGGUGAAGAAGGCCUUCGGGUUGUAAAGCCCUUUUGUUGGGAGAGAAAAGCAGCAGGUUAAUACCCCGCUGUUCUGACGGUACCCAAAGAAUAAGCACCGGCUAACUUCGUG